UCACUGCCGAGGAGUCCCACAAUAGGACGAAACGGCCGUCCAGUAC
rnacentral:hammerhead_ribozyme from 1 species